rnacentral:rRNA from 1 species
GUGGGGAAUCUUCCGCAAUGGACGAAAGUCUGACGGAGCGACGCCGCGUGAGUGAUGAAGGCCUUCGGGUCGUAAAGCUCUGUCAUCGGGGACGAAUGGUCGUUGGAGUGGAAAGCCAGCGAAAUGACGGUACCCGAGAAGGAAGCCACGGCUAACUACGUGCCAGCAGCCGCGGUAAUACGUAGGUGGCAAGCGUUGUCCGGAAUUAUUGGGCGUAAAGCGCGCGCAGGUGGGAUCUUAAGUCCAUUUUGAAAGUUCGGAGCUCAACUCCGUGAUGGGAUGGAAACUGGGAUUCUUGAGUACCGGAGAGGAAAGCGGAAUUCCCCGUGUAGCGGUGAAAUGCGUAGAUAUGGGGAGGAACACCAGUGGCGAAGGCGGCUUUCUGGACGGUGUCUGACACUGAGGCGCGAAAGCCAGGGGAGCGAACGGGAUUAGAUACCCGUGUAGUCC